ensembl:lncRNA
ACAGGGCCGGAGGACGAACGGGGCGUUGUGCCCAGGAAGGCCCCUCGGAGUCCCGCCUGGUGUCAAACCAAUGCAGAGAAAAUGUGGUGGUGUUUUCACCACAUCCAUUCAACGCCUCCUCCCCUCUGGCGGCUCAGCAGUAAAGAAUCUGCCUGCUAAUGCAAGAGACACAAGAGAUGCGGGUUCGAUCCCUGGGUCGGGAAGAUCCCCUGGAGAACAAAAUGUCAACCCACUCCAGUAAUCUUGCCUGGGAGAUCCCGUGGACAGAGAGCCUGGCAGUCCACGGGGUGGCAAAGAGUUGGACACGACUGAGCGGCUAACACACAGCUCUGCUUUGGAAAUGCAACAUGUGGCUGUCUUCCCGCCGUGUGGUUUUCAAGGGCGGGUGGCUGUUUUCCUGCAGACCCUUGGCCCCGCCCUCCCGGGCCGUCCCACCUGGGGCCUCUCUCUGGGACAGCUGAAGCGUGGGGUUUGUGGGAGCCUCACCAGGGAUGCGAUCCUGCCUGGCAGCCGCUGACCUGCGCUUCCCCCAGCCCUGAGGGCAAGGGCCCAGGUUUCCAAGAACAUGCAGCAGCUGGGACCAGUCCUCUCUUCCGCGGUGCGUGCGUGCCCCUCAUUCUCCCUGGCUCCAAGCUUCCUCCUUCGUUCCUCUGUGGGGAGGGCACUGCAGUGGGUUUGCCUGUGUAUCACCGGCUGCUCGAGCUCUGCAUAAGGAGCCACGCGUCUGUCAGGAUAACGGCACAAUCGGAUCACCUGGAGAGCCGUAAAAACAGCGAUGCCUGGGCCGAACCCAGACAGAGGGGCUCGGAAUCGCAGAGGGUGGAGCCGGGCCUCGGAGAUUCCGACAGCUCCGCUGGUCUGGUUUGCAGGCAAGGUUGAGAUCUUCUUAGCUCCACGGCUGAAACUGGAGACCCAGCCUUUCUUCGGCAAAAACUAAUUUAGAAAGCUCAGUUCCAGUCUUGUGUCACAUUACAUCAGUUCACAUUCUGUAAGGAGGUGGAGCUGCCCGCCACCCUCUCGAGUUCAGUAUUUUAAAAAGAUUCCACGUACAAGUGAGAUUAUUCAGCAU